ACAAAAGCUUUGAGUUUUUCUCUCUUAAGCACUUAGACUGAGUUUCAAGUCCAUCUUUAGAUGAAUUAGAACUUGGGCCAUUACUGAACUAGUUUUUGGGUCAGGAUUCUCGGCUCCUUCAAGAGUGGACUCGUCUUGGACUUCCAGGUUUGUUUUUAGCCUAGUUGGGAUCAUCUUAUCACCUCCUCAUUCAAAUAGCCAUAGAGAAAUGCGUUGUUGACAUCCAAUUGGUGUAAUGACUAUUGUUUAACUGUUGCAACAGCCAUU
rnacentral:lncRNA from 1 species